rnacentral:rRNA from 1 species
UAUUGGUCAAUAGCCUAAGCGGCUGAACCAGCAACUUGGAGGAAUGUACAGGGAAAACUGGUAAAAUGUGAUGUACCUGAUAAUAUUAGUGAUUAAUAUGAAAUUAACUAAGUUAAUUAAAAUUCAAAGUAGAUAUGUGAUUAUGACAAUAUUUGCUUAUUUCUUGACCAAGUCACGUGCCAGCAGUCGCGGUAAUACGUGGAAGAUAAGUGUUAUUCAUCUUUAAUAGGUUUAAAGGGUACCUAGACGGUUAAUUAAGCAUAUGUGUGUACUUAUUAAACUAGAGUUUAAUGUAAGAAGGAUUGAGUACGGUGAGUGAAGAGAUAAAAUUCUGUCAUACCACUUAGGAACUGGUAAAGGCGAAGGCAACCUUUUAUGUAAAAACUGACGUUGAAGGACGAAGGA